AUACAGAGGGUGCGAGCGUUAAUCGGAAUUACUGGGCGUAAAGCGCGCGUAGGCGGUCUAUUAAGUCAGAUGUGAAAUCCCAGGGCUCAACCUUGGAACUGCAUCUGAUACUGGUAGACUAGAAUUUUGGAGAGGGAAGUAGAAUUUCAGGUGUAGCGGUGAAAUGCAUAGAGAUCUGAAGGAAUACCAGUGGCGAAGGCGACUUCCUGGCCAAAAACUGACGCUGAGGUGCGAAAGCGUGGGUAGCAAACGGGAUUAGAAACCCCAGUAGUCC
rnacentral:rRNA from 1 species